GAUGAAGAACGUAGCGAAAUGCGAUAAGUAAUGUGAAUUGCCGAAUUCAGUGAAUCAUCGAAUCUUUGAACGCACAUUGCGCCCGCCAGUAUUCUGGCGGGCAUGCCUGUUCGAGCGUCAUUUCAACCAUCAAGCCCCAGGCUUGUGUUGGAGCCCUGCGGCUGCCGCAGCCUCCAAAACCAGUGGCGGGCUCGCUAUCACACCGAGUGCAGUAGUUUACUCUUCGCUCAGGGCGUGUGGCGGGUGCUAGCCGUAAAACCCCCAACUUCUCAAGGUUGACCUCGGAUCAGGUAGGAAUACCCGCUGAACUUAAGCAUAUCAAUAAGCGGAGGA
rnacentral:misc_RNA from 1 species